rnacentral:rRNA from 1 species
AUUGAACGCUAGCGGCAUGCCUAACACAUGCAAGUCGAACGAGUGGCGGACGGGUGAGUAAUGUCUGGGAACCUGCCCGAUGGAGGGGGAUAACUACUGGAAACGGUAGCUAAUACCGCAUACUAUCGGAUGUGCCCAUAUGGGAUUAGCUAGUUGGUGGGGUAACGGCUCACCGAGGCGACGAUCCCUAGCUGGUCUGAGAGGAUGACCAGCCACACGGGGACUGAGACACGGCCCAGACGCCGACGGGAGGCAGCAGUGGGGAAUAUUGGACAAUGGGGGCAAGCCGGAUGCAGCCAUGCCGCGUGUAUGAAGAAGGCCUUCGGGGUGUAAAGUACUUUCAGCGAGGAGGCGUUACUCGCAGAAGAAGCACCGGCUAACUACGUGCCAGCAGCCGCGGUAAUAC